rnacentral:rRNA from 1 species
GAUGAACGCUAGCGAUAGGCUUAACACAUGCAAGUCGAGGGGCAGCACAAGGUAGCUUGCUAUCUGGGUGGCGACCGGCGCACGGGUGCGUAACGCGUAUGCAACUUGCCCUAUACAGGAGGAUAACCCGUCGAAAGACGGACUAAUACUGCGUAUGCUCACAACUUGGCAUCAAGUGGUGAGGAAAGAAAUUCGGUAUAGGAUAGGCAUGCGUCCCAUUAGCUUGUUGGUGAGGUAACGGCUCACCAAGGCAACGAUGGGUAGGGGAACUGAGAGGUUUAUCACCCACACUGGUACUGAGACACGGACCAGACUACUACGGGAGGCAGCAGUGAGGAAUAUUGGUCAAUGGGCGCGAGCCUGAACCAGCCAAGUCGCGUGAAGGAUGACUGUCUUAUGGAUUGUAAACUUCUUUGAAACGGGAAAAACAAGAGUCACGUGUGACUCCCUGAAUGUACCGUAUGAAUAAGCAUCGGCUAACUCCGUG